UACAGAGGUGGCAAGCGUUGUUCGGAAUUACUGGGCGUAAAGGGCGCGUAGGCGGCCAUCUAAGUCAGACGUGAAAUCCCCCGGCUUUACCUGGGAACUGCGUCUGAUACUGGACGGCUUGAGUAUGGGAGAGGGAUGUAGAAUUCCAGGUGUAGCGGUGAAAUGCGUAGAUAUCUGGAGGAAUACCGGUGGCGAAGGCGGCAUCCUGGACCAUUACUGACGCUGAGGCGCGAAAGCUAGGGGAGCAAACGGG
rnacentral:rRNA from 1 species